rfam:Triticum aestivum genome assembly, contig: Triticum_aestivum_CS42_TGACv1_scaffold_062876_1DL
UUAAUACUCCCUCCGUCCGGAAUUACUUGUCGCAGAAAUGGAUAGAAAUGGAUGUAUCUAGAACUAAAAUACAUCUAGAUACAUCCAUUUCUACGACAAGUAAUUCCAGGCGAAGGGAGUACUAA